rnacentral:rRNA from 1 species
CGGACGGGUGAGUAAUGUCUGGGAAACUGCCUGAUGGAGGGGGAUAACUACUGGAAACGGUAGCUAAUACCGCAUAAUGUCGCAAGACCAAAGAGGGGGACCUUCGGGCCUCUUGCCAUCGGAUGUGCCCAGAUGGGAUUAGCUAGUAGGUGGGGUAACGGCUCACCUAGGCGACGAUCCCUAGCUGGUCUAAGAGGAUGACCAGCCACACUGGAACUGAGACACGGUCCAG